AGGGCGGGAAUCCGCGGCCUUUACUGCGGUCGUGGGACACGUCGAGCCGGGCAGUAGUGGCGGGGGCUUGGUAGAAGUCCGUACCGGACUAGGGGAUCCAGUUCUGAGAGGAAGACUAAGGCGGCGGGGCUUACCCUGUGAAGGUAAGGUCACUCCCCUCCUUUUCCCAAACCCGGCGUGUUCGCUGUCCUUUUCCCUCCCGAACCCUGGACCCCCCGCAGCUCCCUUAAGCUGGGCGGAAGGAGAAAGAGCCCCGGACUAGAAGUCAUGGGAUCUGAGCCGAACAGUGGCAGGGAUCUUACAGCGACAUUGCUGUUAUGACCUUAGGGCAGGGUGCUCGGUGCCUCAGUUUCCCCAUCUACGCAAAGGACCGCGUGUCCAGUGUCUCCAUAUGCGCUUUUUCAAGGUUUUAAAUCUCUGAAAUCAUCGAGUCUGAUCCGGGUCUCUUCGUAAUAAACUGAUCUGCAGGCAAGAAGACAGAAGAACUAGCCACUUGGGUGACUAGUCCGAGGUCACACAGAGUGAAGAGCAGACCUGGUCCUUUGUAUCAGGGUUUAGAGAGCUGAUGAGUGAGGAAGCCUGGCCCUUAACUAGACUGUGUGGCAUAGGACUUGGGAAAGGACCCUGUUUCUAAAGUCCAGAUAAGAGAGGUCCAGAAGAGCUGGGAUAUUCGGGAGGGUGGAUGAUGGACGAGACUUUGAAGGUAGAAAGUCCUCAAUCCAGUUUUGCUGAGCUGAGUUUUGUUGCCAAGGUUUUAAGUCAACAUUGGUUGUCGCUGACUUUUCUGCCUCCAGUUUUCGCCCACUCUGUUGCAUGUCUUUCUUCUAUAUUUCUUUGGUUAGCCUGUUUUGUUUUUGUUUUUGGGUUUUUUUUUUUUUUUUUUUGAACGAUCUUGCUUAGCCACGCUGUGGCUAAGCAGAUAGUGUGUCCCAGUGUCCAUUUCCACAGUUCUCAUUGGAGUUCUUUCUGGUUUUCUUCCCAGUCAGGUUGAUCCUGUAAGUGUCCCUUUCCGGAAUGUUUUAGUCUCUUCUGAUGAUACUAAAGAGAUUGGAAGCUCUCUCCCAGAGAACUUUGUACCUCUUGGCACUUCCCCUGUGGGGCUUUUUAUUACAGUUUUUGAACUACUAACUUGUAAGUCUUCUUGCCCACAGUGGAUUCUCAUUAAUUUUUUAUUAGAUUGAAUAAUAUAACUUAGCUUUGUUCCCUUGUUCCUUAAUUUACUCUCGGUUUUUUUUUUCCCCCGUGCGACCCAAAGAGCCAAGCAGUGGCUCUUGUCUUUUAUAGGUAGCUUCCAGAAAGAUAAAAAUGCUGUACUGGCUGUGAACUGUCUGGGUUGCUUGGUCUCUUUUGUUCAUUGAAGGUGACUGUACUAUUGUCUAAAACUCCAGGGGAGGGGGAAGGGGAAAUAGUGUAGUUAGAAAUAUUAUAUGUUACUUACAAUUUUUGUGAGUAAAUUAUUCCUGUUUAUCUGAGGAUAAGGCUGCUGGCCUGCUUCCUGUGUUUAUUUUACAGAUUAAGAUGGUUAGAACAGUGAAAUCUGACUGGUAAAGCAGUGAUACACUGGAAUCUGGGUGGUAGGACUGGAGCCUGUAGCAGUAGCUCUGUUUAACUUGUGAAAUUGAGUGGGUAGGAAUGAAUGGAUAAGUUUAUUCCAGGAACGCUUUCUUUAUUUUUAUUUUCUUUCUUUUAUUUUUGUUUAUUUAUUUAUUUAUUUUUGAGAUGAUCUAUUUAUGUAGCUCUGGCUGUCCUAAAACUCAUUAUGUAGACCAGGCUAUCCUGGAAUCUCACAGAAUUACACCUGCCUAUGCCUCUCCAGUGCUGGGAUUGAAGACUAUAUCACUAUACUGGAUUUUAACAAUUCUUUAAAAAAAAAAAAAAAGUGAGCAAAACCCAAGAAAGUCUCAGAGCUCUUUCCCUGCAUUCUGUGGGGGAGGUGCCUCUCUGGUGGGUGUUUGAAAUGUACAGGUGUACAAGAAAACGGGAACUAGCCACUUGGGUGACUAGUCCGAGGUCACACAGAGUAAAGGGCAGACCUGGUCCUUUGUAUCAGGGUUUAGAGAGCUGAUGAGUGAGGAAGCCUGGCCCUUACCUAGACUGUGUGGCAUAGGACUUGGGAAAGGACCCUGUUUUUUUCUUUAUUUCUUUUCUUUUUUUUUUUUUUUUUUUGGUUUUUCGAGACAGGGUUUCUCUGUGUGGUCCUGGCUGUCCUGGAACUCACUCUGUAGACCAGGCUGGCCUCGAACUCGAACUCGGAAAUCUGCCUGCCUCUGCCUCCCAAGUGCUGGGAUCAAAGGCAUGCACCACCACUGCCCAGCUAGGACGCUGUUUCUUUAGGUAUUCAAUAACCCUAAAACUGGUGUGUGUGGUGAUUGGGUGAAUUUCAUUAGCAACAUAAGAAAGGGAAAGUUGGAAAUGGGUCUUCCUCAGUCUUUCAGGCUUAGAAUUGGAAAUAUAAAAUCAGGACCCUGAUAAUGCUGUCUCUUGUGAGGCUAUGCCGGGGCCUAGCAAACACAGAAGUGGAUGCUCACAGUCAGCUAUUGGAUGGAUCACACGGCCCCCAAUGGAGGAGCUAGAGAAAGUACCCAAGGAGCUAAAGGGGUCUGCAACCCUAUAGGUGGAACAACAAUAUGAACUAACCAGUACCCCCCAGAGCUCGUGUUUCUAGCUGCAUAUGUAGCAGAAGAUGGCCUAGUCGGCCAUCACUGGAAAGAGAGGCCCAUUGGUCUUGCAAACUUUAUAUGCCCCAGUACAGGGGAACGCCAGGGCCAAGAAGUGGGAGUUGGGUGGGGGGAGGGUAUAGGGGACUUUUGGGAUAGCAUUGGAAAUGUAAAUGAAGAAAAUACCUAAUUU
rnacentral:lncRNA from 1 species